UCGGGCAAUGAUACUCAGCACUCCUGUUAUUUACCACAGACGAUUGUGGUCCAUGCUCUCACUUUCUCACUGUUGACAACACUGUUACUCUUAUCGCUGUUAUCUUAAAUAUAUUCAGCAGUGCUGUGUCUUUAUCACCAAGUGGAACACAAAGCUCUGAAGUAGCUGCAACAGUGAGCUUAGAUUGAGCCCCACUCAGCACCAUAAUUUUAAAAUGUAGCACUAGCAGUGAGUCAGACUUUGUCAUCAGGCCCCACUGAUGUUUGUAGUCCAGAGCAAUAAUUGGAUUUUUUCGCACACUUCUGUUCAGGCUCCAGACGUAUUUCCUUCCUGGACGCUUCUGGCAGCUGCUGCUUAUCCUGCCCCGAUUACAACAUAAUUAUCUGUUCCAUGUCGUCACCCUCCACUUUUCUUUUCUUUUCAAAGAACUUUAUGGACCAACUUUCUCUUAGAAACAUACACACAACUGGGACAAAUCUAACUACCAUUUCUGAUUACUUACUUAUUAAUUAUCAUACUGUUACUUCUGUUAUUGAUUGCUUAUUCUUCUAGAAAAAUGUAAAACAACAGCACAUCUUAAACUUCCAAGUCAAUAAAGAUAAAUUUGCUUUGCUUUCUGCUUUUUUCCCCAAGCAGAAAAAACAAGUAUGUUCUUACAAAUGUAUAAACAUGAUGGAGUUUUGAUUAUAAUAUGGGCUAGUUUUGUUCACAAGUGUAGGUAAAAGAACUUCAACAAGCUGAACUUGGGGUUUUAAAGUGAGAACACUUUUCUGAAUUGUGUGUGGCUGCGAUCUACCAGCUACCAGAAGCAAAAUAAAUAUUUAUUCAGGAAUACAAAUGUUUUGACGUGACAUAAAUGUUGGCUGCACUCAUUCAGUGAGGAUUCGCUUCCUUCCUGAUUCCUGCUUCCUGAUUGUUGUUCCUUAGUUAAGUUUUCACUCUGAAAACCAUCAAACACUUUAGAUUCACACGUGUUUGUUUGUUUGUUGCAGGAGUUUUGCUCUGAAUCCUGACCUCCUCUUUGUGCUUCUGUGGCUUAUGGGGCCAUAAAUUGGUCACCAUGGCGACCAGCAGGAUUAUUGAAAGUCCCCCGUCUGACUUUCUGAGUGUUCACCAUCACUCUGCUCUGCAGCUGGUCUCCUUUUCCACAGUGCAGCGACACAGUGUUGAAGAGGUGAGUGUGUUAAAGGAAAUGUUAAUGUCAGGUUUAGUCUGUAUGCACUCAGAGGUCAUUUGCUGCUGCUGCUGCUGUAAUGAUGUAAACCCUGAUUGGUUGGAUAGUUUGAGUGACCACAUUUACUGAGGCAAAGUAGAACAGCUGCUGAUCCUGAGCUACUCUUACAAAUGAAAGAUCAGUGAAGAGCUUCCCUCACACAGCAUAUCCUCUAUUGGACCUGACUGAACAUCCAGAGCCUGAUGUUCACUACAGUCAUGGGCAGAAGAAGCACCGGUGUCAACAAUGAAUCACAAAGCUGGUUUUUUUGCAUAUUUACAUGGUGAUAAAAAGUCUGUAAAGUGGUGAUCUGUGUUGGGGUCCUUAAUGCUGACUGAAAAUAGUUUCUGACUUCUUAAUGAAAAGUACCUUAAAUACUCCUUUUUUUUUUUUUAAAU